rnacentral:rRNA from 1 species
CAAGUCGAACGGGAAAGCGGGGGCAACUCCGCGAGUAUAGUGGCAGACGGGUGAGUAACACGUGAACAAUCUACCCUUGAGAGGGGAAUAACCCCGCGAAAGCGGGGCUAAUACCGCAUAACAUCCCUGAGUCGCAUGGCACAGGGAUCAAAGGCUUCGGUCGCUCAAGGAGGAGUUCGCGGCUGAUUAGCUAGUUGGUGGGGUAACGGCUCACCAAGGCGACGAUCAGUAGCCGGCCUGAGAGGGCGUACGGCCACACUGGAACUGAGACACGGUCCAGACUCCUACGGGAGGCAGCAGUGGGGAAUUUUGCGCAAUGGGCGAAAGCCUGACGCAGCAACGCCGCGUGGAGGAUGAAGGCCUUCGGGUCGUAAACUCCUGUCAGGGGGGACGAAACGCCCAGCAAUGGGCAUUGACUGUACCCUCUGAGGAAGCCACGGCUAACUCCGUGCCAGCAGCCGCGGUAAUACGGAGGUGGCAAGCGUUGUUCGGAAUUACUGGGCGUAAAGGGCGCGUAGGCGGCUAGGCAAGUCAGGUGUGAAAGCCCCGAGCUUAACUCGGGAACUGCAUCUGAAACUGCUGGGCUUGAGUUCUGGAGGGGGUAGUGGAAUUCCCAGUGUAGCGGUGAAAUGCGUAGAUAUUGGGAGGAACACCUGCGGCGAAGGCGGCUACCUGGACAGAAACUGACGCUGAGGCGCGAAAGCUAGGGGAGCGAACGGGAUUAGAUACCCCGGUAGUCCUAGCCGUAAACGAUGGGCACUUGGUGUUGGGGGUAUUGAGUCCCCCGGUGCCGGAGUUAACACGUUAAGUGCCCCGCCUGGGGAGUACGG